rnacentral:rRNA from 1 species
CUUGCGGCGUGCUUAACACAUGCAAGUCGAACGGAAAGGCCCUGCUUUUGUGGGGUGCUCGAGUGGCGAACGGGUGAGUAACACGUGAGUAACCUGCCCUUGACUUUGGGAUAACUUCAGGAAACUGGGGCUAAUACCGGAUAGGAGCUCCUGCUGCAUGGUGGGGGUUGGAAAGUUUCGGCGGUUGGGGAUGGACUCGCGGCUUAUCAGCUUGUUGGUGGGGUAGUGGCUUACCAAGGCUUUGACGGGUAGCCGGCCUGAGAGGGUGACCGGCCACAUUGGGACUGAGAUACGGCCCAGACUCCUACGGGAGGCAGCAGUGGGGAAUAUUGCACAAUGGGCGGAAGCCUGAUGCAGCAACGCCGCGUGCGGGAUGACGGCCUUCGGGUUGUAAACCGCUUUCGCCUGUGACGAAGCGUGAGUGACGGUAAUGGGUAAAGAAGCACCGGCUAACUACGUGCCAGCAGCCGCGGUGAUACGUAGGGUGCGAGCGUUGUCCGGAUUUAUUGGGCGUAAAGGGCUCGUAGGUGGUUGAUCGCGUCGGAAGUGUAAUCUUGGGGCUUAACCCUGAGCGUGCUUUCGAUACGGGUUGACUUGAGGAAGGUAGGGGAGAAUGGAAUUCCUGGUGGAGCGGUGGAAUGCGCAGAUAUCAGGAGGAACACCAGUGGCGAAGGCGGUUCUCUGGGCCUUUCCUGACGCUGAGGAGCGAAAGCGUGGGGAGCGAACAGGCUUAGAUACCCUGGUAGUCCACGCUGUAAACGGUGGGUACUAGGUGUGGGGUCCAUUCCACGGGUUCCGUGCCGUAGCUAACGCUUUAAGUACCCCGCCUGGGGAGUACGGCCGCAAGGCUAAAACUCAAAGGAAUUGACGGGGCCCCGCACAAGCGGCGGAGCAUGCGGAUUAAUUCGAUGCAACGCGUAGAACCUUACCUGGGUUUGACAUGGAUCGGGAGUGCUCAGAGAUGGGUGUGCCUCUUUUGGGGUCGGUUCACAGGUGGUGCAUGGCUGUCGUCAGCUCGUGUCGUGAGAUGUUGGGUUAAGUCCCGCAACGAGCGCAACCCUUGUUCACUGUUGCCAGCACGUUAUGGUGGGGACUCAGUGGAGACCGCCGGGGUCAACUCGGAGGAAGGUGGGGAUGACGUCAAGUCAUCAUGCCCCUUAUGUCCAGGGCUUCACGCAUGCUACAAUGGCUGGUACAGAGAGUGGCGAGCCUGUGAGGGUGAGCGAAUCUCGGAAAGCCGGUCUCAGUUCGGAUUGGGGUCUGCAACUCGACCUCAUGAAGUCGGAGUCGCUAGUAAUCGCAGAUCAGCAACGCUGCGGUGAAUACGUCCCCGGGGCUUGUACACACCGCCCGUCAAGUCAUGAAAGUUGGUAACACCCGAAGCCGGUGGCCUAACCGUUGUGGGGGAGCCGUCGAAGGUGGGACUGGUGAUUAGGACUAA